rnacentral:rRNA from 1 species
UGCAAGUCGAGCGGACAGAUGGGAGCUUGCUCCCUGAUGUUAGCGGCGGACGGGUGAGUAACACGUGGGUAACCUGCCUGUAAGACUGGGAUAACUCCGGGAAACCGGGGCUAAUACCGGAUGGUUGUUUGAACCGCAUGGUUCAAACAUAAAAGGUGGCUUCGGCUACCACUUACAGAUGGACCCGCGGCGCAUUAGCUAGUUGGUGAGGUAACGGCUCACCAAGGCAACGAUGCGUAGCCGACCUGAGAGGGUGAUCGGCCACACUGGGACUGAGACACGGCCCAGACUCCUACGGGA